ACAAAAACCAAUUAAAUUAAACUUCAACACUCUUUUGUUAUCUGGUUUGAUUAUAGAGUUUAAUAAAUAGGGAUUAGAGGUUAGCAGCGACGGAAGGGAGUGGCAGCGGAGGCAGCAUUGGAGGAGGAUUUGCGAUGGCAGGUGAGCGGAGGGAGUCACCACCAGAGAGAGUCACCGCAUAAGAAGGGUUAGGGGUGCCAGAAGAGGGAUUGCUGGCGGAGGCAUUGGGAGCACAUCGAUGUUCUUCGCAGAGUGUCGUGGUACUUCGUGGAGUGCUGGGGUUCUUCGGAGUGAGGCACAAUGAAUAUUGAAUAGAGGGCUUAGAGUUAGUUCUUUGAACGAUUUAAUGUUUGAAGAAGGAGUUCUCUGAAAGAGCUUAGGGGUCUUUGAACAAGUUAGGGCUUAGGCACAAUGAAGGGUUAUCUGAAAGAGCUUAGGGAUACGUGCAAAGGGUAGGCGAGAGUUUGAAA